UGNUCUGUCACUGACGCUGAGGCUCGAAAGCGUGGGUAGCGAACAGGAUUAGAUACCCUGGUAGUCCACGCCGUAAACGAUGAGUGCUAGGUGUUAGGCCCUUUCCGGGGCUUAGUGCCGGAGCUAACGCAAUAAGCACUCCGCCUGGGGAGUACGACCGCAAGGUUGAAACUCAAAGGAAUUGACGGGGGCCCGCACAAGCGGUGGAGCAUGUGGUUUAAUUCGAAGCAACGCGAAGAACCUUACCAGGUCUUGACAUCCCGAUGCUAUUCUUAGAGAUAGGAAGUUACUUCGGUACAUCGGAGACAGGUGGUGCACGGUUGUCGUCAGCUCGUGUCGUGAGAUGUUGGGUUAAGUCCCGCAACGAGCGCAACCCUUAUUGUUAGUUGCCAUCAUUAAGUUGGGCACUCUAGCGAGACUGCCGGUAAUAAACCGGAGGAAGGUGGGGAUGACGUCAAAUCAUCAUGCCCCUUAUGACCUGGGCUACACACGUGCUACAAUGGUCGGUACAACGAGUUGCGAGCCGGUGACGGCAAGCUAAUCUCUGAAAGCCGAUCUCAGUUCGGAUUGGAGGCUGCAACUCGCCUCCAUGAAGUCGGAAUCGNUAGUAAUCGCGGAUCAGCACGCCGCGGUGAAUACGUUCCCGGGCCUUGUACACACCGCCCGUCACACCACGAGAGUUUGUAACACCCGAAGUC
rnacentral:rRNA from 1 species